rnacentral:lncRNA from 1 species
CCCAUGCAAUUUUUAAUAGCUUGACUGGGAAUAUAUUGGACCAGGUGUUGCCGCAAAUUUCACCAGAUUUCAGGAUACUGUGCAGAUCUUUUUCUCUGUGCUAUUCUGGAUGUCUCUUUUCUUCUGGUCUUCUGCAUGGGAUGGGAAAAAUAAUGGCAGACCAAACAAGGGACCUCGAUUUCGAAAAUAAUUCUGUAAGCUCUUGUCCUGUAUAUACUGAUAGAAGCUAGAAAUACCAAGAAGAAGAUGAAGUGGUCGGAAUGGUCGUAAGACAUAUAUGCAUGAUUACAAUUUGUAUUAGUGAAUAAAGUGUAGCUUGUAAGUUUUGCCCUUCUAAUCUUUAUUUUCAAAUUGGGUGCCAAUAAAUUUUACAGUCUUUGAUUCUUCCAUAAAGUAUUGUACUUUUUGAAGUAAAAUAAAAUGAG